rnacentral:rRNA from 1 species
UACGGGGGGGGGCAAGCGUUGUUCGGAAUUACUGGGCGUAAAGGGCGCGUAGGCGGUCUGUUAAGUCGGAUGUGAAAACUCUGGGCUCAACCCAGAGCCUGCAUCCGAAACUGGCAGGCUAGAGUUCUGGAGGGGGUAGCGGAAUUCCUGGUGUAGCGGUGAAAUGCGUAGAUAUCAGGAGGAACACCGGUGGCGAAGGCGGCUACCUGGACAGAAACUGACGCUGAGGCGCGAAAGCUAGGGGAGCAAACAGG